GAUGAACGCUGGCGGCGUGCCUAAUACAUGCCAGUCGAGCGAACGGACGCGAAGCUUUCUUCUCUGAUGUUAGCGGCGGACGGGUGAGUAACACGUGGAUAACCUACCUAUAAUACUGGGAUAACUUCGGGAAACCGGAGCUAAUACCGGAUACUAUUUUGAACCGCAUUGUUCAAAGGUGAAAGACGGUCUUUCUGUCACUUAUAGAUGGAUCCGCGCUGCAUUAGCUAGUUGGUAAGGUAACGGCUUACCAAGGCAACGAUGCAUAGCCGACCUGAGAGGGUGAUAGGCCACACUGGAGCUGAGACGCGGUCCAGACUCCUACGGGAGGCAGCAGUAGGGAAUCUUCCGCAGUGGGCGAGAGCAUGACGGAGCAACGCGGCGUGAGUGAUGACGGUCUUCGGAUCGUAAAACUCUGUUAUUAGGGAAGAACAUAUGUGUAAGUAACUGUGCACAUAUUGACGGUACCUGAUCAGAAAGCCACGGCUAACUACGUG
rnacentral:rRNA from 1 species